UCGGAAUGAACUCAAUAUGGCGGAAACAAGUGGACUAGAUCCCACGUCUCUUGUCCAACCGACACUCAGAUAUAAUGCUAUCUUUUAGAUUGUUUAGUUAGGAAAUAUGAGAGGAUCGAUUCAAAAUAAUUUUUUUGCAUUCCGGCAGGAAAAAUAACAACGAAAGCUUCAACAUUUGGAAAGGGCUGAGAACUCCACAAUGAGCCACCGCCAAGCAACAGAAUUCCAAGGGGCCUCCCCCUCCCUUCCGCUGCCUCCAGAUCAUGUGUUGAACUCGGGAGCAGUAGUUUUCCCUGGUGCCUUUGAUCAGCAUGGAUGUCCUCUGGUUCUGUUCCCUGUGGAUUCUCAUGGCAGUCUUUCAGAUCUAAGCAAAUCUGAAGUGGUUGACU